GUGUCAUAGAGGGUGAGAAUCCCGUAUAUGGCACGGACUCCCGUUGCUCUGUGAUACACUCUCAACGAGUCGAGUUGUUUGGGAAUGCAGCUCUAAAUGGGUGGUAAAUGCCAUCUAAAGCUAAAUAUUGGCGAGAGACCGAUAGCGAACAAGUACCGUGAGGGAAAGAUGAAAAGCACUUUGGAAAGAGAGUGAAACAGUACGUGAAAUUGUUGAAAGGGAAACGCUUGAAGUCAGUCGCGCCGUUCGGGAUUCAGCCUUGCUUCUGCUCGGUUUACUUCCCGUUGGGUGGGUCAACAUCAGUUUCGGACGGAGGAGAAAGGCUUGGGGAAGGUAGCAGCAUUCGUGCUGUGUUAUAGCCCCUUGUUGUAUACUUCGAUUGGGACUGAGGACUGCAGCACGCCUAUGGCCGGGGUUUACCCACGUACGUGCUUAGGAUGUUGGCAUAAUGGCUUUAAGCGACCCGUCUUGAAACACGGACCAAGGAGUCUAACAUGUGCGCGAGUGUUUGGGUGUUAAACUCGGACGCGAAAUGAAAGUAAAAGGUUGGGAACACUUCUGUGUGCACCGACGCCCGGAGCAGACCUUCUGUGACGCAUCUGCGGUAGAGCGUAUAUGUUGGGACCCGAAAGAUGGUGAACUAUGCCUGAAUAGGGUGAAGCCAGAGGAAACUCUGGUGGAGGCUCGUAGCGACUCUGACGUGCAAAUCGAUCGUCAAAUUUGGGUAUAGGGGCGAAAGACUAAUCGAACCAUCUAGUAGCUGGUUCCUGCCGAAGU
rnacentral:rRNA from 1 species